rnacentral:ncRNA from 1 species
ACGUUCUCAACGGGGUGCAGGCCGUUUGUUGGCUAUAUCGCAUUGUCAACGCACGGUAUUUAUGCUGGGAAAAUACCCGUCGAACCUGAUCCGGUUAAUACCUGCGAAGGGAUUUGAGAGUGCAUUCGCC